rnacentral:misc_RNA from 1 species
AACGCACAUUGCGCCCACUGGUAUUCCGGUGGGCAUGCCUGUUCGAGCGUCAUUAUCCUCUCUCAAGCCUUCUGGUUUGCUGUUGGACCCGCGUUGCCGCCCGCGUGCGCAACUGGUCUCAAAGACAAUGACGGCGUCCGUGGGGACCCUCUUCGCAACGAGCUUCUUCGGAGCACGCGUCGAGUUUCAAGGACCCUGUGGGCCGGUCUAACCAUUUUAUUUUUACAAGGUUGACCUCGGAUCAGGUAGGAAUACCCGCUGAACUUAA